GGGUUGUGAGGUUAAGCGACUAAGCGUACACGGUGGAUGCCCUGGCAGUCAGAGGCGAUGAAGGACGUGCUAAUCUGCGAUAAGCGUCGGUGAGGUGAUAUGAACCGUUAUAACCGGCGAUUUCCGAAUGGGGAAACCCAGUGUGUUUCGACACACUAUCAUUAACUGAAUCCAUAGGUUAAUGAGGCGAACCGGGGGAACUGAAACAUCUAAGUACCCCGAGGAAAAGAAAUCAACCGAGAUUCCCCCAGUAGCGGCGAGCGAACGGGGAGGAGCCCAGAGCCUGAAUCAGUGUGUGUGUUAGUGGAAGCGUCUGGAAAGGCGCGCGAUACAGGGUGACAGCCCCGUACACAAAAAUGCACAUACUGUGAGCUCGAUGAGUAGGGCGGGACACGUGGUAUCCUGUCUGAAUAUGGGGGGACCAUCCUCCAAGGCUAAAUACUCCUGACUGACCGAUAGUGAACCAGUACCGUGAGGGAAAGGCGAAAAGAACCCCGGCGAGGGGAGUGAAAAAGAACCUGAAACCGUGUACGUACAAGCAGUGGGAGCCUCUUAAUGGGGUGACUGCGUACCUUUUGUAUAAUGGGUCAGCGACUUAUAUUCUGUAGCAAGGUUAACCGAAUAGGGGAGCCGAAGGGAAACCGAGUCUUAACUGGGCGUUAAGUUGCAGGGUAUAGACCCGAAACCCGGUGAUCUAGCCAUGGGCAGGUUGAAGGUUGGGUAACACUAACUGGAGGACCGAACCGACUAAUGUUGAAAAAUUAGCGGAUGACUUGUGGCUGGGGGUGAAAGGCCAAUCAAACCGGGAGAUAGCUGGUUCUCCCCGAAAGCUAUUUAGGUAGCGCCUCGUGAAUUCAUCUCCGGGGGUAGAGCACUGUUUCGGCAAGGGGGUCAUCCCGACUUACCAACCCGAUGCAAACUGCGAAUACCGGAGAAUGUUAUCACGGGAGACACACGGCGGGUGCUAACGUCCGUCGUGAAGAGGGAAACAACCCAGACCGCCAGCUAAGGUCCCAAAGUCAUGGUUAAGUGGGAAACGAUGUGGGAAGGCCCAGACAGCCAGGAUGUUGGCUUAGAAGCAGCCAUCAUUUAAAGAAAGCGUAAUAGCUCACUGGUCGAGUCGGCCUGCGCGGAAGAUGUAACGGGGCUAAACCAUGCACCGAAGCUGCGGCAGCGACACUAUGUGUUGUUGGGUAGGGGAGCGUUCUGUAAGCCUGUGAAGGUGGCCUGUGAGGGUUGCUGGAGGUAUCAGAAGUGCGAAUGCUGACAUAAGUAACGAUAAAGCGGGUGAAAAGCCCGCUCGCCGGAAGACCAAGGGUUCCUGUCCAACGUUAAUCGGGGCAGGGUGAGUCGACCCCUAAGGCGAGGCCGAAAGGCGUAGUCGAUGGGAAACAGGUUAAUAUUCCUGUACUUGGUGUUACUGCGAAGGGGGGACGGAGAAGGCUAUGUUGGCCGGGCGACGGUUGUCCCGGUUUAAGCGUGUAGGCUGGUUUUCCAGGCAAAUCCGGAAAACCAAGGCUGAGGCGUGAUGACGAGGCACUACGGUGCUGAAGCGACAAAUGCCCUGCUUCCAGGAAAAGCCUCUAAGCAUCAGGUAACAUCAAAUCGUACCCCAAACCGACACAGGUGGUCAGGUAGAGAAUACCAAGGCGCUUGAGAGAACUCGGGUGAAGGAACUAGGCAAAAUGGUGCCGUAACUUCGGGAGAAGGCACGCUGAUAUGUAGGUGAAGCGACUUGCUCGUGGAGCUGAAAUCAGUCGAAGAUACCAGCUGGCUGCAACUGUUUAUUAAAAACACAGCACUGUGCAAACACGAAAGUGGACGUAUACGGUGUGACGCCUGCCCGGUGCCGGAAGGUUAAUUGAUGGGGUUAGCGGUAACGCGAAGCUCUUGAUCGAAGCCCCGGUAAACGGCGGCCGUAACUAUAACGGUCCUAAGGUAGCGAAAUUCCUUGUCGGGUAAGUUCCGACCUGCACGAAUGGCGUAAUGAUGGCCAGGCUGUCUCCACCCGAGACUCAGUGAAAUUGAACUCGCUGUGAAGAUGCAGUGUACCCGCGGCAAGACGGAAAGACCCCGUGAACCUUUACUAUAGCUUGACACUGAACAUUGAGCCUUGAUGUGUAGGAUAGGUGGGAGGCUUUGAAGUGUGGACGCCAGUCUGCAUGGAGCCGACCUUGAAAUACCACCCUUUAAUGUUUGAUGUUCUAACGUUGGCCCGUAAUCCGGGUUGCGGACAGUGUCUGGUGGGUAGUUUGACUGGGGCGGUCUCCUCCUAAAGAGUAACGGAGGAGCACGAAGGUUGGCUAAUCCUGGUCGGACAUCAGGAGGUUAGUGCAAUGGCAUAAGCCAGCUUGACUGCGAGCGUGACGGCGCGAGCAGGUGCGAAAGCAGGUCAUAGUGAUCCGGUGGUUCUGAAUGGAAGGGCCAUCGCUCAACGGAUAAAAGGUACUCCGGGGAUAACAGGCUGAUACCGCCCAAGAGUUCAUAUCGACGGCGGUGUUUGGCACCUCGAUGUCGGCUCAUCACAUCCUGGGGCUGAAGUAGGUCCCAAGGGUAUGGCUGUUCGCCAUUUAAAGUGGUACGCGAGCUGGGUUUAGAACGUCGUGAGACAGUUCGGUCCCUAUCUGCCGUGGGCGCUGGAGAACUGAGGGGGGCUGCUCCUAGUACGAGAGGACCGGAGUGGACGCAUCACUGGUGUUCGGGUUGUCAUGCCAAUGGCACUGCCCGGUAGCUAAAUGCGGAAGAGAUAAGUGCUGAAAGCAUCUAAGCACGAAACUUGCCCCGAGAUGAGUUCUCCCUGACUCCUUGAGAGUCCUGAAGGAACGUUGAAGACGACGACGUUGAUAGGCCGGGUGUGUAAGCGCAGCGAUGCGUUGAGCUAACCGGUACUAAUGAACCGUGAGGCUUAACCUUACAACGCCGAAG
rnacentral:rRNA from 1 species